CCUUGUUCUUCAGCAGGUUUGAAGGAGAAACUCUGAAGUCCUCACAAGCCAACCAGAACUCCAGGUUCUCCUCACUGAACUCUGAACGAAGGAAGCCUCGAAAGGCCUGCAGGCCACCUGGGAGAGAAGGACAGUUCUGGUUUUUAGGAUCCUGCUCAGAGAAGACAUGAAGGAAACAACAAAACAGCUCUUCAUCAAGUGUUCCAGUUUGGAGAUAACUAGUCAUGGAGCCAGAUUAGUCUCAAAAGAAUCAUUUCAGUCCUACAGGGAAUGAUGUUCAUGAAAGAGGCAGAUCUUCCCUGCAUCUGAGGAUGGAAGCUGUGAGAAUGAAUGACAUCCACACGGCGCCCAUAUUCAAUCUCUGAUGAUCAACUCAAUGUUUCGGCUCAGGGUAAAGACCUCCCGCUAAAAGAUCACACUUUUUUAUGCUUUCCAGUUUCAUGUACGUUCAUUUUGAGCCUGAAACUCAACCAAACUUCUGUUUUUCUUUGGAUCUUCAUUUUACAGAUUCUAAAACCAAAAUGGCCUGAAAGUCAUCAGGUUUUCCAUAAAAGUUUUGACUCUGGUUCCACUCAUGCAGAGGGUUUCUGUUGGUGACCCACAAUUCUGUGGGGAUGAUCCUCCUGAACCCAGAGAGGCAGGAAACCUUCCAACCUGAAGGUCCUUUUUCAGCCAACAUGAACCAACGGAAAGAGUAGCAGCAACAUUUUGACAGUUUCAUUCCAAAAUGGCUUAAUCAGUUAUUCUGUAAAGGAAAACUGAGAUCAAACAGGUUCCUUCAAAUGCAGCCAGAAACUGAAGUCACUUUAGAAUUCAGUCAAAACUCUGAAAAUCCCCAUGAGAUGAUGUUUGUAAAAUAUGCACAGAAGCUUUUGUCCACAGAACUCAAUUACGCACAAAUGAGAGUACAUCAGUGAACCCUGAACCAGGAAAAUGUCCCGAAGAACCAAAGGACGUUUAAACCCAAAGUCACCAUGAGCAACGUACUAAUGACCUGGACCAGAAGAAGAGAGGAAUUUUUAAAGAAUGAAUGAUCAGAAACAGGAUGCUAGCUGUAAACUCACUGAAGUAAAACUCCAUCCACCCACCCAGACUUCCCUCUCCCCAGACAGCAGCUACGGUGUUCCCAGGCCAGUUGAGGGACAUAGUCUCUCCAGCGUGUCCUGGGUCUUCCCUGAGGUCUCUGCCCAGUGCGACCAGCCUGGAACACCUCCCCAAGAAGGCAUUCGGGCCAGAUGCAUGAGCCACCCCAACUGGCUCCGCUUGAGCUAAAGGAGCAGCAGCUCUCUCCUGGUGACUGAGCUCCUCCUAUCCGUAAGGGAACGGCCGGCCAUCCUGCAGAGGAAGCUGAUUUUUAUUUUUUGCAUGAGAAAAUGUAUUUUUUAUUUAUUUAACUAUUAUUUAACCAGGAAGAAAAAUCCUAUUCAGAUCUACUGAUAUAUUUUUCAAGGGAGUCCUCUUGGCUGAAUUAAAGUAAUAAAAGCUGAAUUUGCUAAAUGAAAAUAACAGAAUAUUUGCCAAUGAUACAAACACGCAUACACAGUCAUAAUCACGCAUAACCACGGUUUCAGAGCAACCAAUGAACCUAUGAAGCAUGUUUUGGACUGACACAUGAACCAGGAGAACGUGCAAACUUCACACAGAAAGAACUCAGCUGGGAUUUGAAUCUGUUUGUGUGAUGUCAGAGUACUAACCACUACACCACAUUGCAGCCCUUAGUUUAUUUCCAAAACCCCAAAGUAAAGCAUGAAGGAGCGCUGAAGACCAUGCAAAGGAACCAGAAGGAGGAUCUGGAUGUUUUUAUGGAGACGCACCAUGAGCUGAAUGUGUUUUAGUGUCAUGUUUAAAAAAGAAUUGAUUGUUCUUUGUUGUUUUUUAGUCCUGCUGAGUUGGGUUUUGGGCUGGGAUCAUGGCCAUUGGUCUGCUUGUGCUGCAGGUUUCAGAUCUUCAGGUGGUUGACCUCAUCACACCUUUAGCUUCUUUUUCAGCUUAGUCAGGUUUGAGUUUAAAGUUUGCAUUUGGGUGGAAAACAGGUGAGUUUUACAGUUUUUGUCAGCAGUUCAACAAACACCAGUCUGAGUGGAGCUCCCUUCUCUGCGGAGCGCCACCUGCUGGUCGCUUUACAGAGCAGAAGAUGAGGAAAAAGCUCAAACCUUUGUGGAGAAGAAGUCAAUCUCUUACUUUUGGUGUUCAGCAGGGUUUCCAGAUCCUGAAGUGUCUUUCCGUCGUGAAGCCUGAGGUCAGACCGACAGUCAGAACCAAAGCUGGUUUUCAUUCUUCUGAGCCUGAACGCAGCCAACUUACCGAUGCUUGUGAUGGGCAUCUGCCAGAUACUCACUUCUCCAGACAUGAAGAAGGCAGGGAGGAAAGGCCUUUACACAUCACUGCAGGUUAGGAGGGUAUCAAGAGGCUCUGUGCUGCAGCGGGGUCGCGCUCUGCCCCCCCUCCAGCUCUAGCUGCUCUUAUAUAGGUUGAGCUAUCUGCUGUGCCCAUCAGCUGCUGUCAGAGCUGCAGCUGGGACGCUGAGAUGAAGCAAAGCUGAUGAAGAUGAGGAUUUUCUGUCAGCAGCAGGAACAAAGGAUUAAAGAUGGGGGGCAGGUGAGGUCAGGGGACGCUGCAUGAUUAAAGGUGAGCAACACAAAGAAGAACAGGGUGAUGAAGGAGCAGCAGGUGGAGCGGAAGUAUCCACCAUCUGUGAAAAGAGGAGCUCUGCAUGUUUGAGGAGCAGCUGUUCGACUGUUAAAAAAAACAAACUACCCAUGUUUUUCUUCCCAUCAAAGGGCAAAGACCUCCACUGUUUCCGCUGCUCCCUUUUAUUCGGUGUAUAAUCAGUUUAGUUUGAGGAAGAGAAGCUACAACCUGGGUUCUUUGGGUCUCAGGAUUCUGAAAAGAGUGAAAAUAAAUGACGCAGUUUUCAAUGGAAGACAAGAACGGACAAGUCUGCUAAAAAUGUUCAGCUUGUUUGUUUUAAGAUGAUGACUUAUUAAGAUGGUAUCUCUAAUAAACAGUAAAAACAGAGA